UAUUUGAUGUUGGAGGAGCAAGACAAGUAAAGAGACAAGUGAAUGGACACAACAAUAAUUUUGGUAACUGCUUCUCAAUGGAACAACCAUUAAUACAACCUGGAUAACAAGUUCUAAAAGAGAGUGUGUCUUGAGCAUGUGUCUGAACCACAAAGUUCUCCAUUACCAUCACAACCAUCAUUGUAAUGAAUAUUAUGUUCACUCUUUUGCUUUCCAUUUUCUUUUACUUUUUUUUUGGUUUGAAGAGAUGAUUAUUUAUAAAAUGUGUGGUAUUUUGUUUGUUGAUCGUGGAUGUUGUUACCUUCUGUUGUUAAUGUUUGUUUAUAUAGAGUAAUAGAGAUUGUAGAACCUUCUGUAUAAUAGAAUAUUGACAGAAAAUAAAGAAAAAGAUCUUUUGUAAUAGUUAACAUUUAUAUGUUCAAAACGUUACUACAUAUUAGGUGUAAUUAUGGAUCGGAUUAUAUGAUAAAAUUAUCUUUUAAUUUUAUUUGUUUCUGGUUAGUUGAUUAUAUCAUUCUGUUUGUGAGGUAAAAGUUUUCAUUAACGUAAAUGUGUGCAAGAUAUUUUCAGAUGAGUAAUUCUUGGGUUCACCCCC
rnacentral:lncRNA from 1 species